CUUAAGAUAUUGACGUGACUAGUUCUCAGCAAACAAUUUGAAAUUCAAUCGUAAUGGUCUUGAUUACUGCUACGUCUAAGCAUUGCAUAUAGAUAAACUUGAAAAUAUACAUGACCGAAAAAAUUUAGACCGCGAGAAAUACGAAAAGAAUUUAGAAAACGUUACAAUAAAGUCAAUUGGGAAAUACAACUGAAGAGUUUGAAAGUUCUAUCUGAAAAAUAAGAGAAGAUACUCUAUCAAUCUCAAGUUCCGUAAUAUUUGAAUCAACAGUUGAAAAUAAUGUAUAAAGAUGAAAAACUUCAUCUAUGCGAGGAUUGUAAAAGACUAUUUCUUAAAAUACGGUUUCUAAAAAAACACAAGAGGAGAAAACAUGUAAAAAAGGAGUGUGACGAUUGUAUGAAUGGUUUCGAUAGUGAACAGGAGUUGUUUGAUCAUUUAGCCAUGAAGCAUUCUGACGAUUCAAUAGAGUAUGAAUGUAAGAUAUGUUCACUUACAUUUACACGUUUAGAGGACUUGAACAUACAUAUGCAAAUGCAUACAGCCUAAUCAACCACAAUUUUAUGCAUAACGAUAAAACGCCGUAUGAAUGUUCGAGAUGUAACAGAACCUUGCGAAAAACUCUUCUUAUUGCACAUACAAAAGAAAUACAUGAGUAAUAUCGUAGUAAAGAACUAACCGUGACUGACAAUAGAAUAACUGAUCAAGUACAAUUAUACUCUACUCUUAAUAAUAAUGACGAAUCGAUAAUGAAAGAAAUUGAAGAUAAAGAUGUAAUUUUUUUACGAGAUGUAAUAUAUGCAUAGAUUGGAGUUGUCCUAUAAAUACAAUUUUUCUAAGGUUACAAUAGAACACUAUCAGACACAGGAUUACCGACGUGUAAAUUUCACAAUAUGCGUUCAGAAGAUAAAACCAAUCAAUAAAUUAAUUUUUUUUAAUAACUUUAAUUAUUACGUUUUUGUUGGAUUUUAGUACGCGAAUUAAAAACAGAAUUUCUUGAAAUUGAUAUACAUAUUAUAUUGUAUUGGAAGAUGUUGUUAUGCUUAUGCAAUUGGAAUGAGAUUGAGAUUUCAGUAUUGAGAUGUAAGCAAUUGAAGGCCGCACUUCUUAUACGUGUUGCUUAUACAAAGUUAAUGAAAAUGCCAAAUUUAUUUUUAUAGGACUUAAACUAGCACUGAUAUGUUAAUAAAACAUGAUUAU
rnacentral:misc_RNA from 1 species